rnacentral:rRNA from 1 species
UAUGUGAUCGUCUCUCGCAUAUCAAUAAGCGGAGGAAAAGAAACUAACAAGGAUUCCCCUAGUAACGGCGAGUGAAGCGGGAAGAGCUCAAAUUUGAAAUCUUAAAGGGUUUCCCUUUACGAAUUGUAGUUUAAAGAAGUGUUUUCUGUUGAGGUUUUGGUAAAAGUUCUUUGGAAGUAGGACAUCAUAGAGGGUGAGAAUCCCGUAUUUGACCUUUACUUUCAACUUUGUGAUACACUUUCAAAGAGUCGGAUUGUUUGGGAAUGCAGUCCAAAAUGGGUGGUAAAUUUCAUCUAAAGCUAAAUAUUGGCGAGAGACCGAUAGCGAACAAGUACCGUGAGGGGAAGAUGAAAAGAACUUUGAAAAGAGAGUUAAACAGUACGUGAAAUUGUCAAAAGGGAAGCGUUUGACACCAGUGUUGUUUUUUCUGAAAAUCAAUUAAAGAACUGUUUAUGCUAAGUUGUUUAGACUUUAUCAGCUAACUGUUUAGUUUUGAGCUUUUCUUUAAUGCACUUUUCAGUUAACAAGUCAACAUCAAUUUCUUUUGCUGUAAAAAAGCUUGAGGAAGGUGGCUUGAGAUUCGUCUUAAGUGUUUAUAGCCUCUUGCCUAUGCAGUCGGAGAGAUUGAGGUCUGCAGCGUGGAUCCUUCGGGGCUAAAUGCAUUUGUGCUAAGUUAUAGCAUUUUAUAGACAACUUGUUGACUAUGAUUUGUCUUGUAGCUUACUCGCUUAUGUUAUUUUACCUACGCUUAGGAUGUUGAGCGCAUGUCUCUCUCU